CCGAGGAGAAGGCGUUGUUGAGUAGAGUAGGCUAGAGUUAACCGAAAUUCAAGUUCAUAAUUUAAAUUCUAAGUUAACUGCACCAACUAACCGAGUGGAAAACCGUUACCCUUUUCUAAUGAUUAAAAUGUUUUACGAUUGCUGUGAACAUUUUAUUGAACCCGUUUUACAAAGACACAAGUUGAUGCUUGUUUUCGAUCUCAUUUGGACCAAUGCAAAGAUAGAGAUCCCACGUAACUUCCCUGUUUUUCUUACAGCGCUCAAACAAAUCAAGAAAGCAAUCAAAUCAUGGCUUUACAAUCCCCUGUUAAAUUCAAGGAAAAAGGAUGAAACGCAGCCUGUCAUCCAUUCACAUUGUUCGCCAUCCGGUUUUCUAGAGAAUUCUUCUCCUACAAUUGCAACAGAAGCCUUUUUCAUAAAGAAUGACAGUUUGAACAGUGAAGCGGAUUUUUACCACUCUGAGGAAAGACGUGAUCGAGUUUUCGCGGAAGCAUUGUUGCAUUGCAGUUGCUUAGAUGUGCACCUUGCAUUAGCAAAGCGAAAAAUCCAAAAUGUAAGAAGAGAAAACUCCAUUGAUGUUGAACAGUUUGAAUCAUUUACAAAUCCUGAAAAGAGCAAAGUGUUUGAAGUUUCACACUUCAUUGAUUCUAAUAAUGUGACGAGAAACUUGAGCAUCGAAUUGAAUUGGGACGAACAAUAUGUUGGAACCAUUCAGCCAGACCAAGAGAAGAUGGCCAAUAAAGAAGAUUGUGAACGACAAGUCGAAAUUGAUCAAACAAGUUCGCAGUACGAUUAUGGAUGGGCCCGUGAAGAGGGUCUUGAUUUGUUGAGGAUUCUGGGUUCAAAUUUCGAAGAGAAGAUUAAUGGUGGAGUCGCAUACUGUGAGUGUAACUUCGAGGGAAUUCAAAACGAAGAAGUGACUUAUGCCAUAGCGAAAUUCGAGUGUCAAGUAGCCGGUCAGGCUACGUCAGACUACAAGGUCCUCAUACAACGUGCAGUGGCCUACAUCAACGUCGACUCUGCCAUAGAAGGUAAUUAUACUCUAAAGAGUCAAACUACUAAUUACCUUCGCUGUACUCAGUAAUCAGAGAAGCGGCCAAAAUGGUACCCAAUCCUAAUCCAGUAGAGGUGGAAGCCUGACGUAAAACAGUUUUUGACACUUGGUUGGCGGCCAAUCCGGAUCCGAGAAAUCCUACCCAACCACGGAAAGACAUUGGUAAUUUAGGAAGUGGUAGUGAUUACACCGUCUUCAUUCAUGUUCUCGGCGUCCCAUCGAUCGACGUUUACUACGAUUAUCAAGAGAAAGCAGGAUCUUACCCUCUUUACCACACUCUUUACGAGACUUAUCAUA
rnacentral:misc_RNA from 1 species